ACCUCAAAGACGGAAAUAAGGAAGGCGGCGGACUCCAAAUCUAAAUUUAGCGCUGUUUCUCACCUGCCGGUAAAACAGGGCGCCAUUGUUCAACUUAGCACGUGCUCCUUCAGCUGACAGAUGCAGGGUUUCCGAAUCCGGUCCGACUGCGUCUUAUAUUUUGGAAGAUACAGGGUGUCUUGAGAAUAACGAGCCCAACUCGUUGAGAGGAUUUGCAUGCUUGUGAUAGCAUGUGAUUCAUAUUGUGACAAUUUUUGUGAAUUAAUUCAAGCAAAUAAGUAUGUAUGAUCAAAUAUGAACAGAGUGUUCCCUUUUUUAAUGGAACCACCCCCAAGACUCUGUUAAAUAUACGAUUACGAUAAACCAAAAUUCUACAGUUUGAUCAAUAAAAAAUUACUAGUUCUGUAUUGACGUACUGUUUCAAAGAAAGUAAUAAUAUGAAAUUAUGAAGAGAUAAUUGAAGAUCACAAUCAAUCACUUAAAAGUGAAGGUUGGCCUCCUCCAGCAUGUAUUUUUUCACCCAACCUUCUUCAGUGCAGUUCAGUCAAGUGUUUAGAAUCGGCAUAUCAUAAAAAAUCGAUGAAACGAUUUAAAAAACCUAUUUAAAAAAAUAAAGUUAAUGAUGAAAUGUAAUGAACGAAACGUCGCAUUGUAAAUAGGUUGUAAUGAGAUCAUAGCAAAUAUGAAAGUUCCUCUACCUUUUUUUAUAUCAUUCGAAGUGGAGGAGGUAAAACCAUAAAUUGAGUUCGACAAUUAUAGUUUUUAGCACAUAUUUCGAAAACAACCACUGAUAUUUCCGAUCUAAAAAAAGAGUGUUCUAAUUCCCAAAAUGGGAAACUUUUGUCAAAUUUAACCGGCCUUGCUUCUUCCAUCUGAUGGUGAAAAAAAAAGUCAUUUUGUGUUUUUCAACAGCGCACUUGGUUUUUCCAUUGUGAUUUUGUCACUAAUGUCAAAAUUGGGUUUUGAUUCCCAACUAUUGGAGCUCAUAACCAUUCUUAAUUUCAGUAUUUAGAUAUGAAAAUCCAAUUUUGAUAUUUUUAAAACGGGUACUCCCAGUUAAUUUUAAUAUUGGGAAUGAGAAUUUGGAUAUUAUGGAACCAAAUAAUGAAUACAUUACUGUAAAACACAUAUGGUGUUUUUUUCCCAUUAUCAAAUGAAAGAAACAACUUGAAAUCAAACAUAAAUAAAACCUUUCGGAAAAAUUUUCAGGGUUUAAGUUAUGAGAAUGUACUAUUUUCAACUUAGUUUUUGAGAUUUUUUGGAAUAUAUUUAAGGAAAAAAUUCUUAUGGGGAAAGUGGAAGUGAAUAUGAAAUCUAUAUUCAUUUACAUUAUUCCUGAUAUCAUUUCUGCAGAAAAUGAACGCUCUUACUCUUUUUAAGAUUGUACACCAAUGCAAAUUUUAAUUUUUUGUUAACUUAAUUGUAGUAUUUUGGCAUGUCCACCGAAAUGUCCACCAACUGUACAAAUUUGUCAGAAAUGAUAUAACAUCAACAGAGACCUUGAAGUGACUCCAUUAAAAAUGUGACAGACUGUAAUGUAAAUUUAUCCUUAUCAUUGUUUUCGAAAGUGAAAAUAGGAAUUUAUACAAGACACCCUGUUAUAUAUAUUAUAGCUGCUCAAGUUCCAGGUAGAAGGCAUUUUCAUCGAAUGGAAGUCAAACCGGGAUCGAUACGGGUGAAAAUCUUUUAAGGUGGAAGAUGAUCUUGUUUCCAUUUCAAAAAUGUCGGAAGGUUCCACCAAGAAUGAUGUGUAGAUGAAUAGAAGUCAUAGGAGAUGUGAAAGGGGAAAAAUGUUGGAUGAUCAAAAUUCAUGAAAAAUGUUGGCAAAGAAGAUUUAUAUUUUCCUGUUUGGCAU